UACGUAGGGGGCGAGCGUUGUCCGGAAUUACUGGGCGUAAAGAGCUCGUAGGUGGUUUGUCGCGUUGUCCGUGAAAACUCACAACUCAAUUGUGGGCGUGCGGGCGAUACGGGCAGACUGGAGUACUGCAGGGGAGACUGGAAUUCCUGGUGUAGCGGUGGAAUGCGCAGAUAUCUGGAGGAACACCGGUGGCGAAGGCGGCAUCCUGGACCGAGAUUGACGCUGAGGCGCGAAAGCUAGGGGAGCAAACGGG
rnacentral:rRNA from 1 species